rnacentral:miRNA from 1 species
UUCACCACACCCAGCUUAAAGA